GACGAACGCUGGCGGCGUGCUUAACACAUGCAAGUCGAACGGAAAGGCCUUCCUUUCGUUGUGUGUUCGAGUUGCGCACGGGUGAGUCACACGUGAGUAACGUGCCUUAGACUUUGCGAUAACUUCAGGAAACUGGGGCUAAUACCUGUUAGGAGCUCCUGCUGCAUGGUGUGGGUUGGAUAGUUUCGGCGGUUGGGGUUGGACUUGCGGCUUAUCAGCUUGUUGGUGGGGUAGUGGCUUACGAAGGCUUCGACGGGUAGCCGGCCUGAGAGGUUGACCGGCGACAUUGGGACUGAGAUACGGCCCAGACGCCGACGGGAGGCAGCAGUGGGGAGUAGUGCACAAUGGGAGGAAGCCUGAGGCAGGAACGCCGGGUGCGGGAUGACGGCCUUCUGGUGGUAAACAGCUUGCGCCUUGGACGAAGCGUGAGUGACGGUAGUGGGUGAAGAAGCACCGGCUAACUACGUG
rnacentral:rRNA from 1 species